rnacentral:rRNA from 1 species
GUUUCAUGAUAACUUAACGGAUCGCAUGGCCUUGCGCCGGCGAGGGUUCAUUCAAAUUUCUGCCCUAUCAACUUUCGAUGGAAGGUAUUGGCUUACCGUGGUUUCAACGGGUAACGGGGAGUGAGGGUUGGAUUCCGGAGAGGGAGCCUGAAAAACGGCUACCUCCUCCAAGGAAGGCAGCAGGCGCGCAAAUUACCCAAUCCCGACCCGGGGAGGUAGUGACAAUAAAUACUGAUACAGGGCUCUUUAGGGUCUUGUAAUCGGAAUGAGUACAAUUUAAACCUCUUAACGAGGAACAAUUGGAGGGCAAGUCUGGUGCCAGCAGCCGCGGUAAUUCCAGCUCCAAUAGCGUAUAUUAAAGUUGUUGCAGUUAAAAAGCUCGUAGUUGAAUCUUGGGCCUGGCUGGCCGGUCCGCCUCACCGCGUGUACUGGUCUGGCCGGGCCUUUCCUUCUGGAAAACCUCAUGCCCUUCAGUGGGUGUGUUGGGGAACCAGGACUUUUAC